UACGAAGGGGGCUAGCGUUGCUCGGAAUCACUGGGCGUAAAGCGCACGUAGGCGGACUCUUAAGUCGGUGGUGAAAUCCUGGAGCUCAACUCCAGAACUGCCUUCGAUACUGGGAGUCUCGAGUCCGGGAGAGGUGAGUGGAACUGCGAGUGUAGAGGUGAAAUUCGUAGAUAUUCGCAAGAACACCAGUGGCGAAGGCGGCUCACUGGCCCGAUACUGACGCUGAGGCACGAAAGCGUGGGGAGCGAACAGG
rnacentral:rRNA from 1 species